AUGAUACUCCCGUCUUGCACGCGUCACUGCAUGGGGCGGCUCCGAGGGAUCCUCGGAGGGGUGAGAUUCCCGUGA
rnacentral:ncRNA from 1 species